rfam:Colletotrichum tofieldiae strain 0861 Ct_v4_contig49, whole genome shotgun sequence.
GGCCGGCUGGCGCAAUGGUAGCGCGUCAGACUUCUACUAAGUGGUAAUCUGAAGGCUGCGGGUUCGAGCCCCGCGUUGGUCA